rnacentral:rRNA from 1 species
UACGGAAGGCAGCAGUAGGGAAUCUUCCGCAAUGGACGAAAGUCUGACGGAGCAACGCCGCGUGAACGAUGAAGGCUUUUCGGGUCGUAAAGUUCUGUUGUUAGGGAAGAACAAGUACCAGAGUAACUGCUGGUACCUUGACGGUACCUAACCAGAAAGCCACGGCUAACUACGUGCCAGCAGCCGCGGUAAUACGUAGGUGGCAAGCGUUGUCCGGAAUUAUUGGGCGUAAAGCGCGCGCAGGUGGUCCUUUUAAGUCUGAUGUGAAAGCCCACGGCUCAACCGUGAGGGUCAUUGGAAACUGGGGACUUGAGUGCAGAAGAGGAAAGUGGAAUUCCACGUGUAGCGGUGAAAUGCGUAGAGAUGUGGAGGAACACCAGGUGGCGAAGGCGACGUUUUCUGGUCUGUAACUGACACUGAGGCGCGAAAGCGUGGGGAGCGAACAGGGAUUAGAUACC